rnacentral:rRNA from 1 species
GAUGAACGCUGGCGGCGUGCCUAAUACAUGCAAGUCGAGCGAACAGACGAGGAGCUUGCUCCUCUGACGUUAGCGGCGGACGGGUGAGUAACACGUGGAUAACCUACCUAUAAGACUGGGAUAACUUCGGGAAACCGGAGCUAAUACCGGAUAAUAUAUUGAACCGCACGGUUCAAUAGUGAAAGACGGUUUUGCUGUCACUUAUAGAUGGAUCCGCGCCGCAUUAGCUAGUUGGUAAGGUAACGGCUUACCAAGGCAACGAUGCGUAGCCGACCUGAGAGGGUGAUCGGCCACACUGGAACUGAGACACGGUCCAGACUCCUACGGGAGGCAGCAGUAGGGAAUCUUCCGCAAUGGGCGAAAGCUUGACGGAGCAACGCCGCGUGAGUGAUGAAGGUCUUCGGAUCGUAAAACUCUGUUAUUAGGGAAGAACAAAUGUGUAAGUAACUAUGCACGUCUUGACGGUACCUAAUCAGAAAGCCACGGCUAACUACGUG